CAUCUCUUGGAGAAAUAUAUUCCAAGUAGUCUCUGCCCACUGAUUUAAAUGGCCGCAGUAUCUUAACUGUGCUAAGGUAGCAUAAUAAUUUGUCUUUUAAUUAAGGACUGGAAUAAACGAGUUGACGAAGAAAAAGCUGUCUUUAUCAGGUUGUUUAAAUUUACCUUCAAGGUUAAAAGGCCUUGAUCACCCAAAGGGACGACAAGACCCUAAAAACUUUAUCCUUAUAUUGGUGAAUAAGAACUUCAAACUUAAACAGGAUUUUACUGGGGCGGUAAAUAAUAACAAAAUUAAAUUUAACACUUUGCGUGAACUAAGAGAACAUGUGUGCAGACAAGAGAAAUAGUUACUUUAGGGAUAACAGCGCAAUUUUUCCAGAGAGUCCAAAUCGGCGGAAAAGAUUACGACCUCGAUGUUGAAUUGAAAUUCCUCUUAUAGAGCAGAAGCAUAGGAAGGGAGUCUGUUCGACUCUUAAACUUUC
rnacentral:rRNA from 1 species